rnacentral:misc_RNA from 1 species
UGUGGCUUCGUCACAUAUGGA